rnacentral:lncRNA from 1 species
GUCAUCCCCAUACCCCAUCCGGUAUGGGCACCAAAACCAUAAACCUCAAUACCCCGUCCGGUAUGAGGGUGAAACGGGUCAUCCCCAUACCUCGUCCGGUAUGGGCGCCAAAAACCAUAAACCUCAAUACCCCGUUCGGUAUGAGGGUGAAACAGGCCGUUCCCAUACCCCGUCCGGUAUGGGCGCCAAAACACAUAAGGUCUCCAUACCCCGUCUGAUAUGAGAGACCACGUUCCCGGUAGGGUUCCCUACGGACCCGGUCCGUCCACCAUCUCUCAAGAUAUCUAGUCAGGCUGUCCACGUUAUCCAUUUAUUAAUUCAUAUAUCUUUUUCUAUUUUUCUUGGUCUCAAUUAUCCAAUCAUGCGCAAACAUGUAAACCAAUAAUGAACACUAAACAAAACAACACAACAUCGGGUUCACCAUAAUUUAAACCAUAAUAAAAGAAACCAUGAUUCAUGCAUACGAAACCAUAAAAUAAACAUAUCAGAUACCAUACUGCAUUUAAAAUUAUAAAAUAGAUCAAACAACAACUGACCGACAAAUAUACCAUAUUCGGGCUCUAUUAACAACCUUAAGCAAUCAUACACAUCCAAUAAUUCACGAAAAUACUGUUUUAUCAUUUAUUGAACUUUAAUACCGUGAUAGGAAAAUAAGGUGAGAAAUUCUUACUUGUUUCGGGGUGUAAAAUCGGCUCUACAAUGUACCUAUGGGCUGUCCCUAAAUUUUCUGAAUUUUUUUUGAGAAACUGAAACGCACUACCGGUACCUGCACGUAUCCCAAAAAACCCCAAAUCAGACCCAGGGCCCCUUUUUGGCCAAUAUCAAAAUUCUGGCACGGCGGCUUCGCCGUGCUCCGACGACACCACCGCCGCCCGCGGCAGCAAUCUGCCUCGGGUUGGCCAUUUUUGGCCGAAUUCGACUAAACUUACAUUGGUUCCUGCGAUAAAACAACCCUAGGGCUCUCGGUGGGCCAAAAAAUCACGAAAAACUGAGACUUACCGGCGGUGGAGCUCUCGGGUGCGGCGGCUUCUCCGACACGAGUCACGAUUUGAUAUUUUGCUCCGGUUAACUUGUAGAGAAAAUGACGAUGAUCACAGUGGUGUAAAAAUUGCAUCGAACGGGAACCGAAAAGGGCCUCAUCGGAGGCAAAAACUGAGGGAAGCCGCGGCGGCACCGUUGAACUUCGGCAGUAUUUUUCGGCCGAUUAGCUGGUAGUUUGGCUCCGAUUUGGCCAUAGGCGUAUUCAACAUCGAAAAACGAGCCAAUGGGAGAAAAUUUACCUUGUUUGGCGGUCAAAAAAUCCUCCGGUGCUGUGGCGGGUGGCGGCGGUCGGCUCCUCCGGUGACUGGUUCUUCUUCUCCGGCAAAGGUACUGGCGGCUAGGGUUUGGGGUCGGGUGUGGGUGAGGUUAUUUAUAACAUUCCCCUUUUAAUCUCAGCCGUCCAUCACGAUUUAAUCUGCGCCAUCUGAUCACGAUUAAAAUGGAAAUAAAUUUAGGUCUUCCGUGCGUGAUUCAAUCUGGGCAGUCCGCACGUGUGAGAUCUGGGCCUCCGUAUGCGUGAGAUCUGGACCAUUCGAUCGCGUGCACGCGGAUCGCCCAC